rnacentral:rRNA from 1 species
AACGAACGCUGGCGGCGUGCUUAACACAUGCAAGUCGAACGCGAAAGGGACUUCGGUCCUGAGUAAAGUGGCGCACGGGUGAGUAACGCUUAGAUAACCUAUCUUCACGUCUGGAAUAAUACGCCGAAAGAGGUACUAAUACCGGAUAUUCUUGCUUUUCAUAAGUUUUGCAAGGAAAGGUUGCCUCUGAAUAUGCUACUGCGGUAAGAGGGGUCUGCGUACCAUUAGCUAGUAGGUGGGGUAAUGGCCUACCUAGGCAACGAUGGUUAGCGGGUCUGAGAGGAUGAUCCGCCACACUGGCAAUGGAGCACGGGCCAGACUCCUACGGGAGGCAGCAGUGAGGAAUAUUGCGCAAUGGGGGAAACCCUGACGCAGCGACGCCGCGUGAGUGAGGAAGGCCUUCGGGUCGUAAAGCUCUGUCAAAGGGAAAGAAGUGCAUGAUGGCUAAUACCUGUCAUGUUUGACGGUACCCUUAAAGGAAGCACCGGCUAACUCCGUGCCAGCAGCCCCGUAACAC